rnacentral:lncRNA from 1 species
GGAGGUGGGAGCGCUCUCCAGGUGUGACUCCAACCAACCAAGGCCCAAGUACUCCACGCCGUCGAGGAGAGUCAGAGCAGGGUUCGAACUUGAGACCUUCUGCUUGCGCGGCAGGCACCAGAACCACUGACAUAAAUCCCUGGCCCCAGAUAGGAUUUGUUGACGGACUGCAUGUAAGCUAAGAGGAAGAGGAGUCAAUAAUGUGUACAAUACUAAAAAAAAUAGAAGACAACCGUGUACAAGAGCAUUCUGCUCACCCGUGUGUGGUGCUCUAGCUGCCACUGGACCACGGUGAAAGAAGAUGAGGUGGGAAUCCCUUGGAGGAAAAAGAACUCUCACCGUCAAAGGAAAUUCUGCAAGGAGCUUUACACUCUCAGAGCCAAGGAGGGAUGUAAACGCUCACACCAGACCUGGGAAACACCUCAUCUGCAACUCCCUGGCACAGUGAGCUUGCUCAGCUGGUCUCAGGGGAGCCUACCAGGGCUGUGGGCUUGGAGUCUUAGGAGCUGGGUUCCCUCCUCCAGUCACCUCGCCAGUCUGUGUGUGUUGGUUUUUGUUUUGGUACCGGGGAUUGAACUCAGGACCUUGCGCUUGCGAGGCAGGCGCCGGAACCACUGAGCUAAAUCCCCGGCCCUACCUUGCUAAUCUGAAGCUUGGGAUCCUCCUUGCAAGUGGGGAUAUCAGUAUUUUCCCCUUUCCAGGAUUGAUGCGACAGCCAAGUGAGCAAUGGAUGGAAUGAUAGUUUAUUAGCCGUUAGUCACUCUCCAAAAUAAAAGUUUAUUCUGAAC